GAACGCUGGCGGCGUGCCUAAUACAUGCAAGUCGAGCGAACUGAUUAGAAGCUUGCUUCUAUGACGUUAGCGGCGGACGGGUGAGUAACACGUGGGCAACCUGCCUGUAAGACUGGGAUAACUUCGGGAAACCGAAGCUAAUACCGGAUAGGAUCUUCUCCUUCAUGGGAGAUGAUUGAAAGAUGGUUUCGGCUAUCACUUACAGAUGGGCCCGCGGUGCAUUAGCUAGUUGGUGAGGUAACGGCUCACCAAGGCAACGAUGCAUAGCCGACCUGAGAGGGUGAUCGGCCACACUGGGACUGAGACACGGCCCAGACUCCUACGGGAGGCAGCAGUAGGGAAUCUUCCGCAAUGGACGAAAGUCUGACGGAGCAACGCCGCGUGAGUGAUGAAGGCUUUCGGGUCGUAAAACUCUGUUGUUAGGGAAGAACAAGUACGAGAGUAACUGCUCGUACCUUGACGGUACCUAACCAGAAAGCCACGGCUAACUACGUG
rnacentral:rRNA from 1 species